UACGUAGGGACCAAGCGUUGUUCGGAUUUACUGGGCGUAAAGGGCGCGUAGGCGGCGUGGUAAGUCACUUGUGAAAUCUCUGAGCUUAACUCAGAACGGUCAAGUGAUACUGCUGUGCUAGAGUGCAGAAGGGGCAAUCGGAAUUCUUGGUGUAGCGGUGAAAUGCGUAGAUAUCAAGAGGAACACCGAUGGCGAAGGCAGGUCUCUGGGCCGCAACUGACGCUGAGGAGCGAAAGCAUGGGGAGCGAACAGG
rnacentral:rRNA from 1 species